CUAAUCAUGAGCUGUUGUUUUCCAUUUCAACUCCCAAGAAGAGGCAGUGAGUGCCAUCUACAUACAAUCAGUUUAUAAAGUAACAAAUUUGCCAUUGAUUCUUUUGGAGAGGAGAUCUAAAGGAUCAAGGCCAAUAAUUCGAAUAUUAGCCAUAGGGAAGCAUUUAUUACUGCUGCCAAAAAUAGAUCAACAAAUAGAAGAAAUGCAAAAUGAGUCAAAUCGACGUAUCGAUGAGAUUCAAAAAGAAGCAAACCGACAUGUUGAGGAGAUUCAGAAAGAAUCAAAGCGCCAAUAUGAUCUUUUAUUGUCACGUAUUUUAGGAGCACAAGGUCAUAAUUUUGCUCAAUUUGAUGGGCAAGGUUAAAGAGAUUCGAUUCGAAAACUUCACGUCUUUUGUGCUAUAGAGUAUGGGGAAUCUACCACCGUCGACACUCUUGUGGCUUAUGUUAAAUUAUAGUUGCAUUAAUUAAAUUUUGGAUACACUUAAUGUUUUAUCAGAUUUUUGGAUGCACCAAAUGUUCUAGAUGUAAUUUGACGAGGAA